rnacentral:lncRNA from 1 species
AAAACUCAUGGCCAAAUGGAUCCCAAGUGUUUCGCUAAAUUUACUGACUCUUCAUGUUUUAUUAAGGUUCUGAAGAACAACCACACACUGGCUCACUUAUCUGUUUUCAUCUUCUUCAAGAUUCUCUCUAUCAACAUGUUCCACUGCUUUAUUUGGAUCUUCUUCGCAAUCUUCAUUGUGACGCAACAGCCUUGGUCAUCCUGAAAAUGUAUUUGAUGUAUUGUCACGAAAUAAAGUUAUUUCUAGUUCUUCAUGCUUUAAUCCUACUAUGUGUAAUAUUUGUCAUUUGGGAAAACAAUCUAGGCUCCACUUUUCAAGUUCUUCAAGUACAACAAGUAAAUCCUUCCUUUUAAUUCACUUUGAUCUGUGAACAUUCCC